AUAUUCAAUUACCAGUAUUAAUGCACAUGAUCCCAUUAGAACUCCGUAGUUAAGCAUGCUUGAGCGAGAGUAGUACUCGGGCGGGUGACCUCCUGGGAAGUCCUCGUGUUGCACCUU
rnacentral:rRNA from 1 species